rnacentral:tRNA from 1 species
GCCGAAAUAGCUCAGUUGGGAGAGCGUUAGACUGAAGCUGUUAACGCAACAGUCAUCUAAAGUCCCCCCGGUUCAAUCCCGGUUCCGGCA